CGCCCCAUCCCCGCCCCGCGCGUUGCCAGGGUAAUCAGGUGACUCCCGGCUUGCGGCGCUCGGGGCGGCUGUGACGUCAGGCGCGCGGCAGCUCCUCACUCGCUGAGAGGCAGGUGCGGGAGAGUGUAGUGCGGUCUCGCCCGGUCUCCUCAGGUCGUAGCCCGACCACUACGCAGCCGGCUCCGGGGAGAAGAGGUGUACUUUGCAGGGCCUGAUGAACCCAGAGAACCCUCCACCAUAUCCGGGCCCUGGUCCAACGGCCCCAUACCCACCUUAUCCACAACCAAUGGGUCCAGGACCUAUGGGGGGGCCCUACCCACCACCUCAAGGGUACCCCUACCAAGGAUACCCACAGUAUGGCUGGCAGGGCGGACCUCAGGAGCCUCCUAAAACCACAGUGUAUGUGGUGGAAGACCAAAGAAGGGACGACCUGGGACCAUCCACCUGCCUCACAGCCUGCUGGACUGCUCUCUGUUGCUGCUGUCUCUGGGACAUGCUCACCUGACCAGCCCAGCCAGCCAUCCUGUCCUGCCAGCUCUGCUGUCACCUCUGAUAGGUGUGCCUGUGCCCAUCUCUUCUGAUUGCUGUAAUAAAUGACUAGCUCUGCAGACACCUCUACCUUCAACACUGUGGGAUUCUAGAUUAGUGGGAGCUGCUGCUGUUUAAUUCAGUGACUUGAUCUUUUUAAUGUUCAAAAUCCAUUUCUUAUUGAUCUUUAACAAUGUGCUAAAUGACUCUUUUUGGCCAAAGGCUUAGUUAUAAAAUAUGUAUUUAUAAUUUUAAAAUUAUACAUUCAAGGUAAUGGCAAAGUGUAACACACCGUGAGAUGAUUUCUCUGCUAACACCCUGUACGUUUCAGUAAACUUGUCCAAACCUCAA